UUAACAUUGUCAAGACCACUUAUUUUGUCUUUCAGAUGCAUGUGUUAGACAAGCUUUAGUCUUAUUUAAACCCUCAAUCUUUUUUUCGAAUAUUCAUUUAUGGGAUAUUGAGAAUUAAGAAGAAUUUAAAAGAGUCCUAAUUUAUGACACCAUUUUUGAAAAUUUUAAAUUAUCCAACAAUAAACGAAUGGCUGACGAACGAACACAUCUGAUUGCUAGCGGAAGCUACCGUCAUGCCAACUAUAACGGGUACAGCGACGAAAUCGAUCUCAAGGAGGACGGAGAAAAAGUGUCUCUAUGUGGCUCCUACCGUCUUGCUGUCAUUCUGUGCUGCACAUUUUCCAUGACCAUAACAUUCGCGGCCCAGGCCAGUAUGAGCUCAGCCAUGGUGUGUAUGAUGCUAGAUACCAACACUUACAAUUGGACUAGCACAAAUUGGACCAUGACAGCCAAUUCUAACACAACAAAUUGGACGACUGCGCAAAUCGUAGUUAUGGAGGAAAGUCUCAACGAUCCUUGGAAGUUUAACUGGGACAAGACAAGCCAAGGCUGGGCACUCUCAUCUUUCUUUGUUGGCUACUACAUCUCGCAGCUGCCUUCAGGCAUUGCAGCAGCAAGGUUUGGUGCCAAACGUGUGGUUGUGAUCGGGCUGAUUUUUACUUCAAUUUUCCAACUGCUAGCUGUUCCGGCAGCUUAUUUUGAUGUUGCCUGGUUGUAUGCAGAUCGAGUAUUGGCAGGGGCAAUAGAUGGCCUGCUGUAUGCCCCAACAUUUGCUCUAGUGGGUCAGUGGACACCAAGACAUGAGACGAGCUUGCUCUUUGGAAUUGUUGGAAUGGGCAUGGAGUUGGGUGAUAUGUGUGCCUAUGUUGUUUCCCUUUACUCGUGUGAGAUUCCCAUCCAGGGUGGUUGGCCUUUUGUCUUCUACACACUCUCCGGAAUGGGCCUUUUGAUAUCUGCUUUAUUCAUCGUGUUUGUCACCGACUCGCCAUUCGACAAUGCUCUGAUAUCAGAAAAAGAAAUUCAAUUUAUUGCCCAGUCAGUGCCAAGAGCCGGAAACAAAUCUAAAGAAGCUUUGAGCUCCAUACCCGUGAAAGAAAUCCUCAAGUCCAUGCCAGUUUGGGCUAUUGUUGUAUCGCAAAUCGGAUCAGACUGGAUGUAUUAUUUCAUGGUCACCGUUUCACCCACCUUUUUAAAAGAUGUUAUCAGGUUAUCAAGUUUUGAGAUUAAUCUUCUAUCUGGUUUACCAUUUCUUGGCAUUAUUCCCACUAUCUACUUAUCUGGCUACCUGAGUGAUAAAAUAGUUGCUAAAGGCAUUUUUUCAAACACAACUAUAAGGAAAAUCAAUGAUGGAGUUUGUAAACUGGUUCCAGCCGCAGCCUUAAUUGCCAUGGGAUUUUUGCCUGAAGGAUCAACUGCUGCAUCUUUUGUACUCAAUACUGUGGGAGCUAUGGCUCUAGGAUUCUGUUAUGUCAGUUGGAUGGCCAACCCUGUAGAUCUAGCACCAGCGUAUACAGGCUUCAUUGUUGGCGUCUGCGAGGUAGGAGCUGUUUGGGUUGCUAUAGUUGUACCAAUCCUGGUUGACACCAUCACAGAAGAUAAAAGCAGAGAGACAUGGCAACUGGCCUUCUACAUCAGCGCAGGUCUGCAAGUCUUCUGCUACAUCUGGUAUCUACUCUUUGGGUCAGGAGAGUUACAAGAUUGGGCAUUCAACAAGGAACAACAUGACAAGCUGCUCAAAAAGGACUUACAAAACAAUGUAGAAACGAGUGUGGAUCUUAUGGAUUCACUUAGCAAAACUAAGAAAUCAGCUCAGAAUUUUAUCUCAACUCUUUCCCUUGGUGAGUUUAAGGGUACAGCAUCAUAUGAACAAGAGAAAGCUAAUGCUAACCCUACAUCAUCAUAUGAACAAGAGAGAGCUAAUGCUAACCCUACAUCAUCAUACGAACAAGAAAAAGCUAAUGCUAUUAGCCCUACAUUAUCUUAUAAACAAGAUGAAGUGGACAAAAUAAAGGUUUAAUCUUAUCGAGCAACCUUGUCAGUCUGGAGUAGUUAAAGCAAGAGAUGUACAUAUUGUUUCUCUAUUACAUUUGGUGCCGUGGCAAUAAUAGUUUGUCAAAAGAAUCUAAGUAUUGUCAGGUCCUACUGUUGGCAGGUCCUACUGUUGUCAGGUCCUACUGUUGUCAGGUCCUACUUUUUGGUCCCAUUGUUUUUGUCAU